rnacentral:ribozyme from 1 species
ACAAUAAAAUAUAAUAAGAAGAAGAAGGUCACCACCUUUCUCGACUAUACCUCGUCUGUUUUUCUCUUUUCUUCUUUUGUUGUUUUUUU